GGUGAUAUGGCUUGGUAGGUAAAGUGCUGGACUUGUUUACUCUGGAGUCUAGAGGUCUUGGGUUCAAUCCCUGGUAUAGCCA